UACAGAGGUGGCAAGCGUUGUUCGGAAUUACUGGGCGUAAAGGGCGCGUAGGCGGCCUUGUAAGUCCCGUGUGAAAGCCCCCGGCUCAACUGGGGAAUUGCACGGGAAACUGCGGGGCUUGAGUUCGGGAGAGGGAAGCGGAAUUCCGGGUGUAGCGGUGAAAUGCGUAGAUAUCCGGAGGAACACCAGUGGCGAAGGCGGCUUCCUGGACCGACACUGACGCUGAGGCGCGAAAGCUAGGGGAGCGAACGGG
rnacentral:rRNA from 1 species